CGCAGCACUUAGUAUGAAUGUGUGUGUUUUUACCACGGUGCCAGAAGAACCAGAGAGAAGCCCCAAAGAGGAAUGUAAAUGAAACAGCGCACAGCUGGGAAGGUGUUUCCUCCUGUACACUGGUUUGUACACUGGUUUGUACCCCAGUACUGUAUGGGACAUCCGGAGCGGACUGAACUCCAGACCAGUGUCAGUGCCAGUGUCCAAAAAGCUCCUCGCGCUCCAUGAUCAUGUUCCUCCCAACUCUUUUUUGUUCUUUUUCUUCUUUCUUUUUAGUGUCUGAAUGAGGAGGGAAGAAGAAGAGCAGAAUCACAUUUCGGACCUUGGACUGGCCGGGGGGGGGGGUAGAGUGCUGUCACAGCUGGAUGUUGUGGAUCACGCGCACACUCCUAUUUACUGCGCUCCCAACAUCUGGAUUUCAUCAUCAGAGCGCACCGCGCCCACAUUUACUCUGCUUUACUCUACACUCGGGUCUCUUUCGCAGUAAACCGGGGAAAGGAGAUGAUUAUAAUCAUGUGUUCGCUGCCGCCAGCAGCUCUGUGUCUCUUCGUGCUCCUCUUCACCGCUCUUCCGAGCCUCGUGACGGCCAACGUGGUCCAGGAGCGCGCCGCUCUUGAUGAAGAGAAAUUCCUUCGGCUCAGUUGUGGAACAUACCAAGAAAAUUAUGAUGUGAUCUGGAAAAAAGAAGGGCAAGAAGUUGCUAGCAUAAAGAAGGGAAUCAAAUCACUGCAGGAAAAUUUUGGCUUAACAGAGCGUGGAACCCUUGUGGUGUCCGAAGUGCGCAGGUCCGACGCAGGAGAAUACACCGCGAUGCUGCUUGACAGCUCGCAAAACAAAUUGUGUGAAAUGACUGUGCAGCUGAGUGUGUCAGAUUCCAGUGACCCCCCACCUGAGCCAACAAAGAAACCUGAGAAAAGCCCACCUAAAGCUUCUGCUUCCAUCAUCACUGCAAGCAUCUCUGCUCAUGUGAUACUGUUAUUGGUGUGGAUUUUGGUGUGAAAAGGUUCCAGGCCAUGAUUUCCACACCUUGAGAAUUCCCAGGUCAGUCUCAGUGAGUACCUCCUGCUCGACUGAGUAUAAUGCGGUUUCCUACGGUAAAGUUACCCAUAUACGGCACAGGUCCCCUCCCCUAUUGCUGCAGUUAUAAACUCUGUCCUGUGGACUAAAACUUUAUAUUGUUGGUCAUGAAGAGCCUCCAGGUAUAAAUCCGUUCAAUUUCAUGACACAAUUAAAACAUGUUUUUUUGCAAUCUUUAAACUUCUAGCCAUUACUUGCUGUCUGUAUCAUAGCCACUUGUGCAACAUCUGACUGUGUG
rnacentral:lncRNA from 1 species